CUGGACGGUACUGAGGCUUGUCAGGUUUUUCAAACGAACCUUCCGUUCUUAAGUUGUCUUCAGGUCGUACCUGCUUCGGACGCUCGGCUGGUCGGAAUGGAGUCUUCUCGGGACGUUCGAAGUCUCCCUCUGGACGAAGGUUAUCAUCAUGACGCACAGGCUUCGGACGUUCUCCUGGACGAUAUUCAGGGCGUUCAGGAGUCUGGAACGCUCCCUCUGGACGAAGGUUAUCCUCUGGCUUAAUCUGCUUCGGACGCUCGGCUGGUCGGAAGGGAGAUUUCUCGGGACGUUCGAAGUCUCCUUCUGGACGAAGGUUGUCAUCAGGACGAAUGGGUCUCGGUCGCUCACCAGAUACAUACACAGUUUUCUCGGUGCGUUCAAAGUUUCCUUCCAUGUAGAGAUUAUCUUCAUGACGAACUAUUUGAGCUCGCUCUGCCUUUCCUACAACCGUAGGCUGAGGUCUUUCGAAAUCACCUUCAGGCUUGAGAUUAUCUUGCGGUCGAACCUGCUUCGGACGCUCAGCUGGUCUGUACUGAGGCUUUUCUGGAGUAGAGAACUCACCCUCCGGACGAAGGUUAUCCUCUGGCUUAAUCUGCUUCGGACGCUCGGCUGGUCUGUACUGAGACUUCUCUGGCUUCUCGAAGUCUCCUUCAGGUCUGAGGUUAUCCUCAGGUCGUACCUGUUUCGGACGCUCAGCUGGUCGGAAUGGAGUCUUCUCGGGACGUUCGAAGUCUCCCUCUGGACGAAGGUUAUCAUCGUGACGCACAGGCUUCGGACGCUCUCCAGGACGAUAUUCAGGGCGUUCAGGAGUCUGGAACGCUCCCUCUGGACGAAGGUUAUCCUCUGGUU